rnacentral:tRNA from 2 species
GGCGAGAUGGCCGAGCGGUCUAAGGCGCUGUGUUAAGGUGUUCUCUACGAGCAUCCGCAGUCUUCGGACGUGGGUUCGAAUCCCACUCUCGUCA